CAUCAUCGUCGUUAAAUCGGGAAAAGGAGGUUCUGUCCGAAAAAAGAACGACGCCGGCAGGAAGCACAAGGCGAUGGAUAAACAGCCGGCGAGCAGCUGGAGCAUCCACACCCGGCCGGAGGUAAUCGCCAAGUACGAGAUCUUCGAGCGAGUCGGAUCCGGAGCCUACGCCGACGUGUACCGAGCUCGCCGCAUCUCCGACGGUCUCACCGUCGCUCUCAAAGAGAUCUUCGACUACCAAUCGGCCUUCCGGGAGAUCGACGCCCUAUCGAUCCUCCACGGAUCUCCCAACGUCGUCGCUAUGCACGAGUACUUCUGGCGCGAGGACGAGAACGCAGUGAUCGUCCUCGAGUUCCUCAGGUCUGAUCUCUCCGCGGUGAUCCGUGACGCCAAGAGGAGGAAGAAGAAUAAAGGGGAUGGGCUCUCCGUUGGGGAGAUCAAGAGAUGGAUGGUUCAGAUUCUCAAUGGCGUUGAUGCUUGUCAUCGGAAUCUGAUCGUUCACAGAGAUUUAAAGCCUGGGAAUAUGUUGGUAGGUGAUGAUGGAGUGCUCAAGCUUGCUGAUUUUGGUCAGGCUAGGAUACUAAUGGAGCCUGAUGUCGUCGCCACAGAUGAGAACCAACUUGAAGAAGCCAGCAGGGAGCCACCGGAAGUGAUUCCUGAUUAUGUGAACUCGUCUCAGGGAGAACAGGAAGUGUUGAGUAAAGACGAGUACUUUCGGCAGGUGGAAGAGCUCAAGGCUAAGCAGGUUGUGAGAUACGACGACGACACAGAUAAGGACUCGAACGUGCCUGACGGAGACGCGUCUUGUCUCGCGACGUGUACCGUCAGUGAAAUGGAUGAUGAUUUCGGGAGGAACUCUUUUGCUUACGAUGCUGCUGAUGAGGAGGCGUUGGACGGAGGCGGAGAAGGUUUGAUGACGUCUUGCGUGGGGACCAGAUGGUUUAGACCACCGGAGCUUCUUUACGGGUCUACGGUGUAUGGGCUUGAGAUCGAUCUGUGGUCGCUUGGUUGCGUGUUCGCGGAACUCUUGUCUCUGGAGCCGUUGUUCCCUGGAGUUUCGGAUAUUGAUCAGAUCAGCAGAGUGACCAACGUGCUGGGGAAUUUAGACGAAGAGGUUUGGCCGGGCUGUGUCGAUCUUCCAGACUACAAGUCUAUCUCGUUUGCUAAAGUGGAGUCUCCUCUUGGUAUAGAAGGGUGUCUUCCCAACCAUUCAGGGGAUGUGAUAGCGCUGCUCAAGAAGCUUAUCUGUUACGAUCCAGCUAGUAGAGCUACUGCUGUGGAGUUGUUGAAUGAUAAAUAUUUUAAGGAAGAGCCUCUUCCUGUUCCAGUUUCAGAGCUAUAUGUGCCUCCGGCAAUGAGUGGGCCAGAUGAGGAGGAUUCUCCUAGGAAGUGGGAUGGUUACAGAGAAAUGGAUUCAGAUUCAGAUUUUGACGGCUUUGGUCCAGUGAAUGUGAAGCCUACAAGUAGUGGAUUCACAAUAGAGUUCCCCUGAACCUUUAUGGCUUUUUAAGGUAGGCGGUAAAAAGCUUUGCCUCUUUCUCCUUCGUACAGAUAUGUGUGUCUUUAAUACUAAUAGGCCUAGCCAGGAUUCAACAACCACUAAGAAACUUUUAGUUGGAGUAUUUUUAAAUGGAUUAACAUUUUGGCCGGGGUCCAUGAUUGAGAAUCUUGAUCAGCCUGCUCCCCUGAAUCCGUCUGCUGUGACAAGAAGAUUGGUUGUUGUGUAUUAUGUCUCUGGAAUAGAAAACAGUUACAUUUUACAAUCCAAGCUAAAGAGCCUAUAAAAAGCUUUGUAUUAUCUGUGUUAUGCAUUUUUUUUUUACUGUGUAAUAACUUGCUCUUUUCAUGGUCAUCAGAUGAUGGGUUCAAUGAGUCAAAAACUAGUUUCUGCA